GUCCCCAUCGUCUAGUCAGGUCUAGGACACUGGAUUUUCAUUCCAGCGACCGGGGUUCGAAUCCCCGUGGGGACGCCA
rnacentral:tRNA from 4 species